CUACGGGGUGCUCCAGUGAGGAAUAUUGCACAAUGGGGGGAACCCUGAUGCAGCAACGCCGCGUGGAGGAUGCCGCAUUUCGGUGUGUAAACUCCUUUUAUAUGUCAAGAAAAUGACGGUAGCAUAUGAAUAAGCACCGGCUAACUCCGUGCCAGCAGCCGCGGUAAUACGGAGGGUGCAAGCGUUACUCGGAAUCACUGGGCGUAAAGGACGCGUAGGCGGGUUGGAAAGUCGGGUGUGAAAUCCUACAGCUUAACUGUAGAACUGCACUUGAAACUUCUAAUCUAGAGUAUGGGAGGGGAGAUGGAAUUAGUGGUGUAGGGGUAAAAUCCGUAGAUAUCACUAGGAAUACCUAAAGCGAAGGCGAUCUCCUGGAACAUUACUGACGCUAAGGCGUGAAAGCGUGGGGAGCAAACAGGAUUAGAUACCCCUGUAGUC
rnacentral:rRNA from 1 species